CAGACAAACUGUGAGUGUCUCAUCUCAUUGGACAGUUUUCUUGACCCUUAUUCUGCGAGUAACAGAUUGAUCCUCCAACUUCCAGCUCAGCUCGGUCCUAUGUUGUGAAGUGCUAAUAGAACCAUUCACUGUGGAGUCAGUCCUGACUCAUGAUGACUCCAUGCGUGUCAACAUGGAACUGUGCUUCACAAGGUUUUUGAUGGCUGGCUUUUCAGAGGGGGAUAUCACGGCCAUCAAGAAAGAAGAGCCAGGAGUGGGAUCCCAUGCUGGAGUUCUAUGAUACAAGAGGCGGAGUUCUGUGACACUGGAGCGACAGUGAGCAAUGAAGAGGAGAAGUGGCAGUAGCAGAGGUACCAAAACCAGUUGAAAAAGAGGGCUGGCUUCCUGGCUCACAGAGCAAGAAAGCUGAGUACUUUGGGAUAGGAGGCUUGCUAACAUAGUGGGUUACCUUUGAAGAUUUAAUUGAGGGAGUUAGGUUUGCCAACUAUGGAGCUAGAGGUGAGCACUUUUGGCUGCGGUUUCUUGGAGAGUGAGCAUUGAUUGGCACAGCUGAAAGAGUUUGUGGCCCAGAGUUGAAGAGAAGCAUGCCUAUGGGCAUGACUCCGAAGAGAUUGUCCUAAUUGAAGAACUGCAUCCUGAGUGUUGUUAUCCUGAAUUAUAACUGUCCACUUCCUUCAUAAACCCUUAACUGUGAGUACAGUGUGUAAAUGCUGUGUGGCCAUUGCAAUGAAUCAUUUAACCCAAGAAGGAAGUAGAGAAUGCCAUGGGAGGGAUGACUAGGAUUAAAAUUGGUACAGUUUGAAGGGUGGAGGCAAUGUUUGACAUCACCCCCAAAAUUCGCCAAUGGUGGCUGAUGUUCACGAUGGUGAUUCUUUCUCCCCUUGGUUAUGUUAAGCAGUGGUCUCAACCUUCCAAAUGCCGCGACCCUUUAAUACAGUUCCCCAUUUUGUG